UGCCCAAGACAUAGAAGCUGCAAUCUUGCUUCUAUGUCUUUGCUUAUCAGUGGCGUGAGCUCAGCUCACUGCAACCUCCGCCUACUAGGUUCAAGAGAUUCUCCUGCCUCAGCCUCCCGAGUAGCUGGGAUUAAAGGCACCCACCACCACACCCGGCUAAUUUUUGUAUUUUCAGUAGAAACAGGGUUUCACUAUGUUGGCCAGGAUGGGCUUGAACUCCAGACCUCAAGUGAUCCGCCUGGCUUGGCCUCCCAAAGUGCUGGGAUUAUAGGCAUGAGCCACUGUGCCCAGCCCACUUACAUAAAUUUCAUUCAUCUUUUUGGGGCCAGCCAGUUGUUCUCUCACUUUCUUCCCUAAACUUUGUCAUGAUACAUUUUAAAUUGAGUCUUAGUUUGAAGGUAGUUUUUAAAGACAGAUCAUUAGACAAAAAACUACAGAGUCAAAAAUACCCUUUCUUGGAGAUUAAAGUUGUCUGUCAAAUAAAGCACAGAUGAAUUAGUGUAUCUCAUGCUGCCUGUGGGUAAGUUCAUCCGUGGUCAAAUUUUCCUCCCCUAUCAGAACAUUUUGCCAUUUCUUUGGUUGAAUACCAGAUUCGCUGAAUGGCUUGUGUUUAGGAACUAUAUGGUCUAGAGAAGUAUGACUCCCCCACUUCCAAGUUGAUAUAGCUGAAUUUUUGUUAAUUUACAUAAGAAGUAACUCUCCUGAAAUCAGGCCUGAUGUGUUCCCACUUGUGUAUUUUUUUGUUGUUGUUGUUCUUUUUUUGAGAUGGAGUUUCGCUCUUGCUACCCAGGAGGAGAAUCUGUAUAGUGGAGAGGGGAGCAGUGUGGAAUUUUACAGAAAAGAAUAUUUUCUUGUCAAAAUGAGGGAGGCAAUAAAACAAGAGUCAACUAGGUGAGCAAUUAGGGUACAAACUAAAAAUGUGUCUUUCUUACGAGGCAAGCAUGUGGAUAAGGGCAGCAUUAUUACAAAAUAUUUAAUAAUACAAGGUAAAAAUGUCCUUUGAUUAUUUUUGAAAUUGGAUACCACAUUAAAAAACAUAACAAAACAAACUUUAAACAAAGCCUUGCAUGCAAACUAUAGAGUCACUCAGUGAAUUCUAGAAAGGAGUAUCUAGCACAGAGACCCUCCAGUGCUGCAGAGACCAGAUCUCACUCGUGCCUAUGACCUGUGACCUAUAAACUCCUUAGCAUGGCUUCAUGAACUCCACCACUUGGACCAAACGUUCCCUUCCAGCCUCACUACCUACUCGCGCUUUCUGGGCACUAUGCACUCAGCUCAUCCUGGCAUACUUGCCUUUUUUUUUUUUCUUUAAAAAGACUGAGUCUUACUCUGUUGCUCAGGUUGGAGUGCAGUGGCACGGUCAUAGCUCGCUGCAUCCUUGAACUCCUGGUCUUAAGAGAUUCUCUCACCUCUCACCUGCGUCAAACAAUGAGACUACAUGGACACAGGGAGGGAAACAUCACACACCAGGGCCUGUUGAGGGGUUGGGGGUAAGGGAAGGGAAAGCAUUAGGACAAAUACCUAGUGCAUGUGGGGCUUAAAACCUAGAUGAAGGGUUGAUAGGUACAGCAAAUCACCAUGGCACAUGUAUACCUACAUAACAAACCUGCACAUUCUGCAAAUGUAUCCUGAAACUUAAAGCCAAAAAAAAAAAAAAGAGAGAGAGAUUCUCCCACUUAGCCUCCUGAGUUGCUGGGACUACAGGUGCACACCACCAUGCCUGGCUACUUUUUAAGUUUUUUUCUAGAGAAGGGGUUUCACUGUGUUGUCCAGGCUGGUCUUGAACUCCUGGGUUCAGGUGAUCCUCCCAUCUCAACCUCCCAAAGUGUUGGGAGCUACCAGGCCCAGUCAUUGCCAUUACUUGAAUAUGCCAUGCAUUUUGUCCUAGAAGAUGGUCUUGA
rnacentral:lncRNA from 10 species